UGGGGAAUAUUGGGCAAUGGGCGGAAGCCUGACCCAGCAACGCCGCGUGAAGGAAGAAGGCCCUCGGGUUGUAAACUUCUUUUCUAUAGGACGAAGAAGUGACGGUACUAUAGGAAUAAGCCACGGCUAACUACGUGCCAGCAGCCGCGGUAAUACGUAGGUGGCGAGCGUUAUCCGGAUUUACUGGGUGUAAAGGGCGUGUAGGCGGGAGAGCAAGUCAGAUGUGAAAACUACAGGCUUAACCUGUAGCCUGCAUUUGAAACUGUUCUUCUUGAGUGAUGGAGAGGCAGGCGGAAUUCCUAG
rnacentral:rRNA from 1 species